rnacentral:rRNA from 1 species
GACGUAGGGCGCGAGCGUUGUCCGGAUUUAUUGGGCGUAAAGAGCUCGUAGGCGGCUCAUCGCGUCUGCCGUGAAAACCCGCAGCUCAACUGCGGGCUUGCGGUUGAUACGGGUGGGCUGGAGUUCGGUAGGGGAGCGUGGAAUUCCUGGUGUAGCGGUGAAAUGCGCAGAUAUCAGGAGGAACACCAGCGGCGAAGGCGGCGCUCUGGGCCGGUACUGACACUGAGGAGCGAAAGCGUGGGUAGCAAACAGG